rnacentral:rRNA from 1 species
UCGAGCGGAAACGAGUUAUCUGAACCUUCGGGGAACGAUAACGGCGUCGAGCGGCGGACGGGUGAGUAAUGCCUAGGAAAUUGCCCUGAUGUGGGGGAUAACCAUUGGAAACGAUGGCUAAUACCGCAUAAUGCCUACGGGCCAAAGAGGGGGACCUUCGGGCCUCUCGCGUCAGGAUAUGCCUAGGUGGGAUUAGCUAGUUGGUGAGGUAAUGGCUCACCAAGGCGACGAUCCCUAGCUGGUCUGAGAGGAUGAUCAGCCACACUGGAACUGAGACACGGUCCAGACUCAUACGGGAGGCAGCAGUGGGGAAUAUUGCACAAUGGGCGCAAGCCUGAUGCAGCCAUGCCGCGUGUGUGAAGAAGGCCUUCGGGUUGUAAAGCACUUUCAGUCGUGAGGAAGGUGGUGUAGUUAAUAGCUGCAUUACUUGACGUUAGCGACAGAAGAAGCACCGGCUAACUCCGUGCCAGCAGCCGCGGUAAUACGGAGGGUGCGAGCGUUAAUCGGAAUUACUGGGCGUAAAGCGCAUGCACGUGGUUUGUUACGUCAGAUGUGAAAGCCCGGGGGCUCACCUCGGAAUAGCAUUUGGAACUGGCAGACUACAGUACUGUAGAGGGGGG